rnacentral:rRNA from 1 species
GAUGAACGCUGGCGGCGUGCCUAAUACAUGCAAGUCGAGCGAACGGACGAGAAGCUUGCUUUUCUGAUGUUAGCGGCGGACGGGUGAGUAACACGUGGAUAACCUACCUAUAAGACUGGGAUAACUUCGGGAAAACGGAGCUAAUACCGGAUAAUAUUUUGAACCGCAUGGUUCAAAAGUGAAAGACGGUCUUGCUGUCACUUAUAGAUGGAUCCGCGCUGCAUUAGCUAGUUGGUAAGGUAACGGCUUACCAAGGCAACGAUGCAUAGCCGACCUGAGAGGGUGAUCGGCCACACUGGAACUGAGACACGGUCCAGACUCCUACGGGAGGCAGCAGUAGGGAAUCUUCCGCAAUGGGCGAAAGCCUGACGGAGCAACGCCGCGUGAGUGAUGAAGGUCUUCGGAUCGUAAAACUCUGUUAUUAGGGAAGAACAUAUGUGUAAGUAACUGUGCACAUCUUGACGGUACCUAACCAGAAAGCCACGGCUAACUACGUG